UUUGGUCAUCAUUGCGAUGGAGAUACACCUGUUCCCAUGUCGAACACAGAAGUUAAGUCCAUCUACGGCGGA
rnacentral:rRNA from 1 species